UCGGAAGAUUCAGGAGAACAUG
rnacentral:snRNA from 1 species